GCCUCGUUAGCUUAGUGGUUAGAGCACUGGUCUUGUAAACCAGGGGUCGAGAGUUCAAAUCUCUUACGGGGCU